GACGAACGCUGGCGGCGUGCUUAACACAUGCAAGUCGAACGGAAAGGCCCUGCUUUUGUGGGGUGCUCGAGUGGCGAACGGGUGAGUAACACGUGAGUAACCUGCCCUUGACUUUGGGAUAACUUCAGGAAACUGGGGCUAAUACCGGAUAGGAGCUCCUGCUGCAUGGUGGGGGUUGGAAAGUUUCGGCGGUUGGGGAUGGACUCGCGGCUUAUCAGCUUGUUGGUGGGGUAGUGGCUUACCAAGGCUUUGACUGGUAGCCGGCCUGAGAGGGUGACCGGCCACAUUGGGACUGAGAUACGGCCCAGACUCCUACGGGAGGCAGCAGUGGGGAAUAUUGCACAAUGGGCGGAAGCCUGAUGCAGCAACGCCGCGUGCGGGAUGACGGCCUUCGGGUUGUAAACCGAUUUCGCCUGUGACGAAGCGUGAGUGACGGUAAUGGGUAAAGAAGCACCGGCUAACUACGUG
rnacentral:rRNA from 1 species